rnacentral:lncRNA from 1 species
GUAGCAUAUGUAGUUUACUUUUUGCUGUAUAAGGAUCAUGUGUAGUUUUUCAAAGAUGGCUCUAAUUUAAUACUCAACAUUAAACUUCAUGGAUCACUAAAAACUACAGUUUAAAUCCAUACAUAAACAUAAAAUGUUUAUUUGGACAUGCCUGUUAUUAGUACUAGAUUACCGAAUUCAAAGUUUGAUCUAUUGUUUCGAUAAGAAAAAGUUCAGUAAUAUUGUUAACCUUGUGACACAUAUUAAGUUAUGAAUAUCUAUUCUUUUUUUUUUUUGAACAACGAAUAUCUAUUCUAAUUGUGUAGUUUAUGUAGUUAUACAUUUUAUUUCUGUAGC